UACCUGGUUGAUCCUGCCAGUAGUCAUAUGCUUGUCUUAAAGAUUAAGCCAUGCAUGUCUAAGUAUAAGCAUUUAUACCGCGAGACUGCGAACGGCUCAUUAAAACAGUUAUGGUUUAUUUGAUGGUUCCUUUGCUACUUGGAUAACCGUAGUAAUUCUAGAGCUAAUACAUGCACGAAGGGGCGACUCACGAAGCCCUGUGUUUAUUAGAUUAAAGCCAACCACCUCCGGGUGUUCGUGGUGAAUCAUGGUAACCUAUCGGAUCGCCGGCUCUACGCCAGCGACGUGUCAUUCAAAUUUCUGCCCUAUCAGCUUUAGAUGGUAGGAUAUGGGCCUACCAUGGCGGUGACGGGUAACGGAGAAUUAGGGUUCGAUUCCGGAGAGGGAGCCUGAGAAACGGCUACCACUUCUAAGGAAGGCAGCAGGCGCGCAAAUUACCCAAUCCUGACUCAGGGAGGUAGUGACAAGAAAUAACAAUAAACCGGCUUAUGCCGGUUUAAUUGGAAUGAGUACAAUUUAAACAUCUUAACGAGGAACAAUUGGAGGGCAAGUCUGGUGCCAGCAGCCGCGGUAAUUCCAGCUCCAAUAGC
rnacentral:rRNA from 1 species